CCAGAGCUUUCUGUUGAACUGCAUAGGCAGGCCUAGUCUUAGCCCUUCAUGCUCUUUGAGAGGAUUUUGGUGAACACCUGCUCCUUUGCUAUCUUUUUCCUCCUCAUUCACCGGUGACAGAAAACACUUUUUACCUUUCUUUUUUGACUUGGCGGCCUUGGUAUCAGUCUCGGGUGCAUCUUUAAAUGCAGCUUUGGGAUUGAUUUUCUUCACUUAGGCUUGCUGCCUAGUAUUGCAGGCAUUGAAGAUGACCUCCUCUUCUUGGUUUUUGAGAGUUAUAGUACCCUCAUCAACAUUGAUGAUUACUUUGGCCAUCUUAUUGAACGACCUUCCAAGAAUAAUAGGGAUCUCCGCAUUUUCCUCCAUCUCUAACACCACAAAGUCCACCAGGAAUCUCAAGUUGUUGAUUUGCACUAUCAUAUCUUCUAUUACACCAUAGGGUCUUUCGGGGGAUCCAUUUGCCAUGAGGAGAGACAUUCUUGCUGGCUUAACUUCUAAGUCACCAAUCUUUUUUAGAACAAUUAAGGGCAUAAGAUUGAUACUGGACCCCAAAUCAAUUAAGGCUUUCCCUAUUUUAUGGUUUCUAAUGGUGCAUUGAAUAGUGAAACUUCCUAGGUCUGCCACCUUAGGAGGAAGUCCUUUCUGCAAGAUCACACUUCAAUCCCCC
rnacentral:lncRNA from 1 species